GGUGAACGCUGGCGGCGUGCUUAAGACAUGCAAGUCGAACGCAGUCUUCGGACUGAGUGGCGCACGGGUGAGCAACACGUAACUGACCUACCCCCAAGUCGCGGAUAACUGGCCGAAAGGUCAGCUAAUACGUGAUGUGAUGUCCCCUUUCUGGGGGGCCAUUAAAGGUUUACUGCUUGGGGAUGGGGGUGCGUUCCAGCAGCUAGUUGGCGGGGUAAAGGCCCACCAAGGCAACGACGGAUAGCCGGCCUGAGAGGGUGGCCGGCCACAGGGGCACUGAGACACGGGUCCCCCUCCUACGGGAGGCAGCAGUUAGGAAUCUUCCACAAUGGGCGAAAGCCUGAUGGAGCGACGCCGCGUGAGGGAUGAAGGUUCUCGGAUCGUAAACCUCUGAAUCAGGGACGAGAGACGCGUAAGCGGGAUGACGGUACCUGAGUAAUAGCACCGGCUAACUCCGUGCCAGCCGCCGCAGUAA
rnacentral:rRNA from 1 species